UGGGGAAUUUUGCACAAUGGGGGAAACCCUGAUGCAGCGACGCCGCGUGAUUUAGAAGGCCUUCGGGUUGUAAAAAUCUUUUCUAUGGGAAGAAAAUGACAGUACCAUAGGAAUAAGGACCGGCUAAUUACGUGCCAGCAGCCGCGGUAAUACGUAAGGUCCGAGCGUUGUCCGGAAUCAUUGGGCGUAAAGGGUACGUAGGCGGGUAAGCAAGUUAGAAGUGAAAUCCUAUAGCUCAACUAUAGUAAGCUUUUAAAACUGCUCAUCUUGAGGUAUGGAAGGGAAAGUGGAAUUCCUAGUGUAGCGUUGAAAUGCGCAGAUAUUAGGAGGAAUACCGGUGGCGAAGGCGACUUUCUGGCCAUAACCUGACGCUGAGGUACGAAAGCGUGGGUAGCAAACAGG
rnacentral:rRNA from 1 species